rnacentral:tRNA from 1 species
GGGCUCGUGGUCUAGGGGUAUGACGUCGCCUUGACAUGGCGGAGGUCCGGAGUUCAAAUCUCCGCGAGCCCA